rnacentral:misc_RNA from 1 species
ACAAACUUGGUCAUUUAGAGGAAGUAAAAGUCGUAACAAGGUUUCCGUAGGUGAACCUGCGGAAGGAUCAUUAAUGAGUUGAACUGAAGUUGUUCUGGUCUUUUGGGGCAAGUGAACGCUUCACUCAAUCCACCUUACACCUGUGAACCUCUAAGGGGAAAUACCAUUGGAUCUAAGUUGGAUAACAACGGUGGUCUUUGGUUGAUUACUCUUAGUCUAAGGGGAAAUACUAUUGUAUCUAAGUUGGAUAUAACAACGGUGAUCCUUGGUUUAUUACUCUUAGCCCUUUGGAUUACUUUGGAUCUAAGUUGGGUAACGACGGUGAUUCAAAGUUUUCCUCCUACACAAACUACAAACACUUAGAACGUCAUUUUUUUGCUUGAUGCAAAAUAAAAAAUACAACUUUCAGCAACGGAUCUCUUGGCUCUCGCAUCGAUGAAGAACGCAGC